UCGGCGACCGGCGCACGGGUGAGUAACGCGUAUGCAACCUGCCCGAUACCGGGGUAUAGCCCAUGGAAACGUGGAUUAACACCCCAUAGUACUUUUAUCCUGCAUGGGAUGUGAGUUAAAUGUUCAAGGUAUCGGAUGGGCAUGCGUCCUAUUAGUUAGUUGGCGGGGUAACAGCCCACCAAGACGAUGAUAGGUAGGGGUUCUGAGAGGAAGGUCCCCCACAUUGGAACUGAGACACGGUCCAA
rnacentral:rRNA from 1 species